GCGCUUCCGCCUUACUCCUAGCAACGCCCGUCCUGACGCGACAGGCCCCGCCCCCAUCCGCGAGCCUCCCGGAAGUUGCCUGUCGGGAGCUGGGCACGCAUCUCCGCGCGGUGCCUGACUCGUCUGAGGGACAGUAUCUGGGCGGGAGAACCCGGCCGGGAGAGAGCGUCCGCGCCCGGGCUGGGGCAGCACAUUCACGUGCGCGGAGCCGAGGCUGGUGACGAUGGCGGGGCCGCAGUCCCUGGCGCUGCAGCUGGAACAGUUGUUGAAUCCACGACCGCGCGAGGAGGACCCUGAGGCCGACCCGGAGGAGGCCACUGCUGCCAGAGUGAUUGACAGGUUUGAUGAAGGGGAAGAUGGGGAAGGUGACUUCCUGGCUGUGGGUAGCAUUAGAAAACUGGCAUCAACCUCCCUCUUGGACACAGAUAAAAGGUAUUCUGGCAAGACCACCUCUAGAAAAGCAUGGAAGGAAGACCAUUGGGAGCAUCCUCUGUCAGGUUCUGACAAGGAAAUAUCUGAUGAGGAAGAGUUUGGAGAUGGCAAUUCAGAGGGACUGGGUCUGGAGGAAUCAGAUGAGGACGCCACGAGUGCUGCUGAGGAACAGGAGUGUGGUGGUGAUGCGGACAGUAGUCUGGCCCAGAGGAAGGGGAGCAGAAGCUGCUCCGGGAAAACACCAGGCUUCAGUGUCCAGUACAUCAGUGACUUUGAAAAAUUUACUGAGGGAAUGGAUGAGCUUGGUAGCAGUGAGGAGGAGGAAGAUGAAGAUGAAGAGGAGGAGAGUGGCAUGGAAGAAGGGGAUGGUGAGGAAGACUUCGAGGUUGACAGUGAGGGAGACAAGGCUGAAGACAGGACCAGUGAAGAUGAUGGUGUGAUGAUGACCUUCUCCAGUGUCAAAGUUUCUGAGGAAGUGGAGAAAGGCAGAGCUGUGAAGAACCAGAUAGCACUGUGGGACCAACUCUUGGAAGCAAGGAUCAAACUACAAAAAGCUCUGCUGACUACCAAUCAGCUUCCUCAACCAGAUGUCUUCCCUGUUUUCAAGGACAAAGGUGGCCCAGAAUUUGCCAGCGCUGUAAAAAAUAGUCACAAGGCACUUAAAGCGUUGCUGAGGUCAUUGGUAGACCUUCAGGAAGAGCUGCUUUUUCAGUACCCAGAUACAAGGUAUCUAGUAAGUGGAACAAAGGCCAAACCGGAAAGUGAGGAAGAGAUUUCUAGUGAAGACGAAGAGUUAGUAGAAAAGAAGAAGCAGCAGAGAAUGGCCCCACCAAAACGGAAGCUGGAGAUGGAUGACUAUCCCAGCUUCAUGGCAAAGCGCUUUGCUGACUUUACAGUCUACAGGAACCGCACGCUUCAGAAGUGGCAUGACAAAACCAAGCUGGCUUCUGGAAAACUGGGGAAGGGUUUUGGUGCCUUUGAACGCUCAAUCUUGACACAGAUCGAUCAUAUUCUGAUGGACAAAGAAAGAUUACUUCGAAGGACACAGACCAAGCGCUCUGUUUACCGAGUUCUUGGCAAACCUGAACCAGUAGCGCAGCCUGUUCCAGAGAGUUUGCCAGGACAACCGGAGAUCCUUCCUCAAGCCCCUGCCAAUGCCCAUCUGAAGGACUUGGAUGAAGAAAUCUUUGAUGAUGAUGACUUUUACCACCAGCUCCUUCGAGAACUCAUAGAACGGAAGACCAGCUCAUUGGAUCCCAAUGAUCAGGUGGCCAUGGGAAGGCAGUGGCUUGCAAUCCAGAAGUUACGAAGCAAAAUCCACAAGAAAGUCGAUAGGAAAGCCAGCAAAGGAAGGAAACUUCGGUUUCAUGUCCUUAGCAAGCUACUGAGCUUCAUGGCACCUAUUGACCAUACUACAAUGAAUGAUGACGCCAGAACCCAGACCACUCAGCUUUCCAAGUUCCUUUGCCAUGAACAGCCGCAUAUGUUUGUCAGCUUUGCCCACCUGAGUGUGAAAUGAUGUUCUAUCAAAACAUGGGUUUCAGCAUUUCACUCUCUGCUCCUGACAUGUGAACCCCGCUGCGGACAGUAACUGCUGCCUUGGCCCAGGCGUCUCUGCUGUUUCGGCGCCGAGUGGAAGCACUUGCUCAGUGGACAGAGUUGUAUCGAUCUCUUUUUGGCCAGCUCAACCCUCCUGAUGAAGGCCACGGGGAUUGACAGCGCCCAUCUCUCUUGCUGCGGGCCCGGCGGCAGGGCCUGGGCACCCCCGGCAGCACCUUGGCAGGUCGGCUGCUCAUCCAGCCCCAGACGGAGGAACCCAGGGGCCUGUGGGGUUGAGUGAGUUCGGAGACCCCUGGGAAGGUGUGCUGUUCAGAACACAUGCCGAACAAGUCCCAGGAAGCCUGGGAUCAAGUGCCUGCGUCUCCAGGGCUUCGGUGUGCGAAGGGCCCCUCCCCCACGUCCUUUCACCACCACAAAUAAAGAGUAUUGUCACUGCA